AGGGUUUGAUUAUGGCUCAGGAUGAACGCUGGCGGCGUGCUUAACACAUGCAAGUCGAACGAAGCACUCUAUUUGAUUUUCUUCGGAAAUGAAGAUUUUGUGACUGAGUGGCGGACGGGUGAGUAACGCGUGGGUAACCUGCCUCAUACAGGGGGAUAACAGUUGGAAACGACUGCUAAUACCGCAUAAGCGCACAGGAUUGCAUGAUCCGGUGUGAAAAACUCUGGUGGUAUGAGAUGGACCCGCGUCUGAUUAGCUAGUUGGCAGGGUAACGGCCUACCAAAGCGACGAUCAGUAGCCGACCUGAGAGGGUGACCGGCCACAUUGGGACUGAGACACGGCCCAA
rnacentral:rRNA from 1 species